rnacentral:lncRNA from 1 species
GAAAAGUCACAAACUUGCCUAUUUGAAUAUUUGAUUGUACAUAUUAAUUUGAAAACAUACUUAUUUUAGUCGUUUGAGAUGUUUUUCAUUCUUUUUUAAAAAAAUUCCCAAACUAACAAUGUUAUAAGAAAGCCAAAAGGUUAUUUUAACCAAGAUGAACACAUGAUAUUAAGAAGCACAAAGGUAGAAACGUGUCUUUCAACUGUAGCGGAAGACAUAUCUACCUCUCUCGGUAGCAGAAAAUACGGAAUCUGAUUCGUCCCAUAGCUCCAACAGUUGCUUGGCACUCAAUAUUCUGGAAUCAGCUCACUUUCCCAGUAACACAUUAUACUCGUAUGUGUUUACUCUUCCCUCUAAAUUUGGAUAUAGCCUGCCACUUGCUUACUCUGUUCAGUGGGACAAAAAACAGUAACUACUUGCUAUUGAAAUGCCCUUACUCCCUCUAGAUUUGGUCUGCAACAGCUUCAUCACUCAGCUUAACCUCACCUAUAAACUUUGGACUGAAAGUAACCAUGGGCCCCAUCUUCAAGCGAUUAUUGGUUCUAAUAGAAAGGUGAUCACUGAAACAAUCCAAGAAGAAUAGAUUCUAUGCAAUAAAAGGAAAAAAAAAUUGUUUAGAAAUAUAACUUUGUAUCCUUCCUCUAGUUAAAACUUAAAACACAACAUACUGC